rnacentral:rRNA from 1 species
UACGAAGGGGGCUAGCGUUGCUCGGAAUCACUGGGCGUAAAGGGUGCGUAGGCGGGUCUUUUAAGUCAGGGGUGAAAUCCUGGAGCUCAACUCCAGAACUGCCUUUGAUACUGAGGAUCUUGAGUUCGGGAGAGGUGAGUGGAACUGCGAGUGUAGAGGUGAAAUUCGUAGAUAUUCGCAAGAACACCAGUGGCGAAGGCGGCUCACUGGCCCGAUACUGACGGCUGAGGCACGGAAAAGCGAUG